CGGAGGGGUUAGCGUUGUUCGGAAUGACUGGGCGUAAAAGCGCGCGUAGGCGGGCUGGAAAGUUGGGGGUGAAAUCCCGGGGCUCAACCCCGGAAUGGCCUUCAAACUACCCACGCCUAGAGUUCGAGAGAGGUGAGUGGAAUUCCGAGUGUAGAGGUGAAAUUCGUAGAUAUUCGGAGGAACACCAGUGGCGAAGGCGGCUCACUGGCUCGACACUGACGCUGAGGUGCGAAAGCGUGGGGAGCAAACAGGAUU
rnacentral:rRNA from 1 species